rnacentral:snRNA from 1 species
GAACAUGAGGGCUGCAACAUCUGUCACCCCAUUGAUUUCCAGUGUUGAUUUGCUGAUCCGGCUGGCUAGGCGGGUGUCCCCUUCCUCCCUUACUGCUUCAUGUGCGUCCCUCCUGAAGCUGUGCACUCUGUCAAGGAAGACAAACACCCCUGGUAGAGGAGGACCAUUUCUUCAGUCAAGGGUAUAUGAGUCACUGCAUUCUCCUGCUAGAACCUCCAUACAAGCUCUCAAAUCAAUGGAGGUAGUUGGAUCUUGGGACAAAGGUAAAGGCCUAUAGUU